rnacentral:rRNA from 1 species
ACCAGUGACAAUAGCAUGUUGAAUGCACCAGUUCUAGUGGAUCACUGAAGUUAAGCAAUGCUGAGCAUGGUUGGUGCCCAGACAGGUGAACAGCUAGGACAUGGGCUGUUGGUU